CCCUGUAAUGGAUGUCAGGCACUUGGGCCCAGAUCCUAAGACGUAUUUAGAUGCUUAACAUUAGAUACCUAAAUAUCUUUCAGGAUCUGGGCCCUGAUGAAUAUUCCAACAGUAUACCAG
rnacentral:precursor_RNA from 15 species